UUUGGUUAAGUUAGAAAGGGCGCACGGUGGAUGCCUUGACACUAGGAGUCGAUGAAGGACGGGACUAACGCCGAUAUGCUUCGGGGAGCUGUAAGUAAGCUUUGAUCCGAAGAUUUCCGAAUGGGGAAACCCACCAUACGUAAUGGUAUGGUAUCCUUAUCUGAAUACAUAGGGUAAGGAAGACAGACCCAGGGAACUGAAACAUCUAAGUACCUGGAGGAAGAGAAAGCAAAUGCGAUUUCCUGAGUAGCGGCGAGCGAAACGGAACAUAGCCCAAACCAAGAGGCUUGCCUCUUGGGGUUGUAGGACAUUCUAUACGGAGUUACAAAGGAACGAGGUAGACGAAGCGACCUGGAAAGGUCCGUCGUAGAGGGUAACAACCCCGUAGUCGAAACUUCGUUCUCUCUUGAAUGUAUCCUGAGUACGGCGGAACACGUGAAAUUCCGUCGGAAUCUGGGAGGACCAUCUCCCAAGGCUAAAUACUCCCUAGUGAUCGAUAGUGAACCAGUACCGUGAGGGAAAGGUGAAAAGCACCCCGGAAGGGGAGUGAAAGAGAUCCUGAAACCGUGUGCCUACAAAUAGUCAGAGCCCGUUAACGGGUGAUGGCGUGCCUUUUGUAGAAUGAACCGGCGAGUUACGAUCCCGUGCGAGGUUAAGCUGAAGAGGCGGAGCCGCAGCGAAAGCGAGUCUGAAUAGGGCGUUUAGUACGUGGUCGUAGACCCGAAACCAGGUGAUCUACCCAUGUCCAGGGUGAAGUUCAGGUAACACUGAAUGGAGGCCCGAACCCACGCACGUUGAAAAGUGCGGGGAUGAGGUGUGGGUAGCGGAGAAAUUCCAAUCGAACCUGGAGAUAGCUGGUUCUCCCCGAAAUAGCUUUAGGGCUAGCCUUAAGUGUAAGAGUCUUGGAGGUAGAGCACUGAUUGGACUAGGGGUCCUCAUCGGAUUACCGAAUUCAGUCAAACUCCGAAUGCC
rnacentral:rRNA from 1 species